rnacentral:rRNA from 1 species
GACGAACGCUGGCGGCGUGCCUAAUACAUGCAAGUCGAACGCUGAAGGAGGAGCUUGCUUCUCUGGAUGAGUUGCGAACGGGUGAGUAACGCGUAGGUAACCUGCCUGGUAGCGGGGGAUAACUAUUGGAAACGAUGGCUAAUACCGCAUAAUAGCAGUUGUUGCAUGACAACUGUUUGAAAGGUGCAAUUGCACCACUACCAGAUGGACCUGCGUUGUAUUAGCUAGUUGGUGGGGUAACGGCUCACCAAGGCGACGAUACAUAGCCGACCUGAGAGGGUGAUCGGCCACACUGGGACUGAGACACGGCCCAGACUCCUACGGGAGGCAGCAGUAGGGAAUCUUCGGCAAUGGACGGAAGUCUGACCGAGCAACGCCGCGUGAGUGAAGAAGGUUUUCGGAUCGUAAAGCUCUGUUGUAAGAGAAGAACGAGUGUGAGAGUGGAAAGUUCACACUGUGACGGUAUCUUACCAGAAAGGGACGGCUAACUACGUG